rnacentral:miRNA from 1 species
UACCCGUAUAAGCCGUCUGCCGGC